ACGACCUUACUUGAACAGGAUCUGUUCUAUAGGCUCGUACCGUUGCAUCCUUGACUGAUAAGGAGGCAAGCACUCAAGCUUGGUUGAUGACGCAUGACCUGUGGGCCAGAGCGUGAUUAACGGCCGGAUCAUGUCACACUGGCUGAUUCGAUCCCACGGCUGUAGAGGAUCGUUCCUUGCCGGGCCUCGCCUGACCAGGAUGGCUCUCAGGUUGUCUGACAGGCU
rfam:Oryza nivara chromosome 3, whole genome shotgun sequence.